rnacentral:rRNA from 1 species
AUGAUGGAGCAAGUGAAGGCCAUCCGAGAAGCCAGCCAGGCAGCCUAUGACGCCAGUUCAGCUCUUCAGAGUAAUGUUCAGAAAUCCUGCGACCUUGUGGCUCGUUAUACUGAGUUGGAGAACAAACACAUCCAGCUCGAGCUUGAUCUGAAACUGACCCAAGAGAACCUAAUGAAGGCGAAGGAGGAAGCUAAAGACAAAGUGAGGGAUGCCCUGAAGAAGAAAGACCUUGACUUGGCUGAGAUGCAGAAAGCGGUUUUAGAGAAGACCAAGCUUGCAGAUGAGAAGCUGGCUUCAGUCACCAAGCUUGAAGAAGAAAAUACCAAUCUGAAAGCUGCUCUUGAUGCUGCCAACAAGGAGGUCAGUCGACUGAAAAGUGACAAGAUUGCCCUGAAUGACAAGGCCAGUGAGUUGGCGGGGAAGAAGAACGAUCUGGAGGCUUAUCUAGGUGGACUCGGCAAGAAGCUAUUCCUCAUGCUUGAAGAAUUUUGCCAGAACUUUGAAGAGGAGACUGGUCGACUGGAAGUAAACCUGGACCCCAUCAACUCUCCCGUGAAAGAUGAAGUCGCCAUGAAUGUGCUCCGGCUUGAAUCUCGUGUUGUUGCUGUCAUCGACUAUCUCGCAAGGCUGAAGGUCGCAACUUCUCGCAUCGACACAACCCUCUGGCCAAGAGAGACGCUCCAGAACGACCUCGAGUCUCUGAUGACUCGACUGAACGAGGUCCCAAGUCGAGUGCAGGAGUGGAAGAAGUCUUCGGCCAGGUGUGGCGCGGAUGUUGCUCUGUCUCUGGUCCGCGUUCACUGCAAGGAUGUGCAGGAGGACAAGCUGGUGGCCCUUAGGGUGGCUAACACCAACAAGCACGAUUUCCGAUCUUUCAUGGAGACCUUCAUCACCGCCGCCACUCAGAUUGCAGAUGGAAUCAACUUGGACGAGUUUGUUGCACCUUCCAGCCCUCCACAGGAGGGGUAA